rnacentral:rRNA from 1 species
CCUACGGGAGGCAGCAGUGAGGAAUAUUGGUCAAUGGACGAGAGUCUGAACCAGCCAAGUAGCGUGAAGGAUGACUGCCCUAUGGGUUGUAAACUUCUUUUAUAUGGGAAUAAAAUGUUCCACGUGUGGGAUUUUGUAUGUACCAUAUGAAUAAGGAUCGGCUAACUCAGUGCCAGCAGCCGCGGUAAUACGGAGGAUCCGAGCGUUAUCCGGAUUUAUUGGGUUUAAAGGGAGCGUAGGUGGUUUGUUAAGUAAGUUGUGAAAGUUUGCGGCUCAACCGUAAAAUUGCAGUUGAAACUGGCAGGCUUGAGUACAGUAGAGGGGGGCGGAAUUCGAGGUGUAGCGGUGAAAUGCGUAGAGAUCACGAAGAACACCGAUUGCGAAGGCAGUUCACUGGACGACAACUGACACUGAGGCGCGAAAGUGUGGGUAUCAAACAGGAUUAGAUACCCAUGUAGUC